UACGUAGGGAGCAAGCGUUGUCCGGAAUCAUUGGGCGUAAAGCGCGCGUAGGUGGCCUCAUAAGUCCGCUGUGAAAGUCAAAGGCUCAACCUUUGAAAGCCGGUGGAUACUGUGGGGCUAGAGUACGGAAGAGGCGAGUGGAAUUCCUGGUGUAGCGGUGGAAUGCGCAGAUAUCAGGAGGAACACCGAUGGCGAAGGCAGGUCUCUGGGCCACUACUGACGCUGAGAAGCGAAAGCAUGGGGAGCGAACAGG
rnacentral:rRNA from 1 species